UGUUAAAAAUUCCGUCCAGUUGUACAGUUAAAAACUGGCAUGGUUGAUAGAAUAAUUAGACAGUAACACGUAGUAUGCCACAUGUAUCUUAUGCUGACGUAUAGAGACUAAUUCUUAAUAGCAAAAAAGACUGAGAUUUUUAAUA
rfam:Gossypium arboreum cultivar AKA8401 contig_44409_3, whole genome shotgun sequence.